AUACUAAAUACUGCCGGUUGUACACACAAAACUUUCGGGGCUCCACUUAGCAAAAUUUCACUGUUACUUUCCGUUAGCAAAAAUAUUUUUUUACCGUCGAGUUAGCAAAAAGCUAAAUUUACUUGAUUUUAGUAAUUUUAAAGUUUAUCUUGCUUGAUUUUAGUAAAACGAAGGUUUUUUUAGCCGCUUUGUGUACAGACAGCAGCCGCCGCGUGUUGGGAGGAAAAAAACAAACUGACACAAUUGAACGCGGUUUCGAAAGUUUGAUUCUGGUGGUUCUGAAGGUGGCUAAAUCAACUACGAUAUACUAGUCUAAUCGACGCCGGAGGCGUACAGGUAGAGUCAAUUAUAAAUUAUAAAGAUUUUCCAACUUUUUAAUUUCAGAAUUGUUAUUAUUUUUCUACCAGGUUACAACUCAAAAAGAAAUCCUCAACAGUCUGGAAAUGGAAAAAUCGAGACUGAAAAUUCAACGAGCUCCAUCGUUCUCCAUCCGACACACAACUCAGUGAAUUCGUUGGUAAGAAUGGCAUUGCAUUCCGCUCGCCGGAAGGUGCGUCCCCAGGAUCGGAACUUCUGUUCUACAAAGUGUAAAUUUUUUUUAAGAAAAAUGUGAAAAAUAAAUUAAAAGUGAAUGAAAUUUGAGUAUUGUUUUUAAUAAUAAAACAUUCCCCCUAAAUCUCCAGAGAAAAACCACACAUUUUGAAAUUUCUGGUCCGGGCAAUCUUUUUCUCCGGUUUUUGCUAGAAAAGUGAGCAAAAAUUGCGGCGGCUACACACAAAAUUUUCGAGCCUCCACUUAGCAAAAAUACUGCGUUACUUUCGAUUAGCAAUAAGGGUUGUUUUACUAACGCGAUAGCAAAAUGCUUAUUUUGCUUGAAUUUAGUAAAAAAGUCAACUAGCUAGCCGCUUUGUUCGGAUAGCAGCCGCCGGCUACGAGAGAAAGAAAAAUAAAUCAACGUGAAUCAGUACGAUUGGCGGAACCUGUGGAGCUGGGGCUGAUAAGUCAGUGACGAAAUGGUAGCCAGACUAACACCGGAAGCGUACAGGAACUUACCAAUGAAUGAACAGUAAUGCGGUUACGGAAUCGAGUUCACUGCUAGUGGUGCCAAGGUGUGAUGGCCAAGUGGCCGACGGAAGUUGGAUAAAACAUCGGAAGCGAAUAGGUAGGAUUCGAUUCAACCAUGAGAAAAUCCGGCUUUUAAUAUGCGAAAUUAUUUGUUUUUCGCCAGGUUGUUCCUGCCGACCAUCAUUGCAGGAUGAUCGACAAAAAGGAACCAUUUUCACCCGGGUGAAAGACCAAUUCUAAAGAUCAAGUGGACAAAUUAGUUAGUUAGUUAAGUGACUUGCAUUUUUUUUAAAUAAAUGAAGUGAAAUAAUC